rnacentral:rRNA from 1 species
CCUACGGGGAGCAGCAGGCGCGAAAACUUUACAAUGCAGGAAACUGUGAUAAGGGAACCCCGAGUGCCCGUAUACGCGGGCUGUCCAGGUGUUUAAAAGUCAUCUGAAGAAAGGGCCGGGCAAGACCGGUGCCAGCCGCCGCGGUAAUACCGGCGGCUCGAGUGGUGGCCACUAUUAUUGGGCUUAAAGCGUCCGUAGCUGGACUGAUAAGUCUCUUGGGAAAUCCGCCGGCUCAACCGGCGGGCGUCUAAGGGAUACUGUUGGUCUAGGGACCGGGAGAGGUGAGAGGUACUCCGGGGGUAGGAGUGAAAUCCUGUAAUCCCCGGGGGACCACCGAUGGCGAAGGCAUCUCACCAGAACGGCUCCGACAGUGAGGGACGAAAGCUGGGGGAGCAAACCGGAUUAGAUACCCGGGUAGUCCCAGCCGUAAACUAUGCGCGUUAGGUGUGCUGGUGACCACGUGUCACCGGGGUGCCGAAGGGAAACCG